ACAUACGACCAUAUCCACGAGAAAGCACGGGAUCCCGUCCGCUCUCCCCUAGUUAACCUCGUGAGAGCCAGAUCAGCAGCUGGGUCGGUGGCCAACGAAUCCCUGAUGUUGGUUUGUU
rfam:Chaetomium globosum CBS 148.51 scaffold_2 genomic scaffold, whole genome shotgun sequence.